rnacentral:pre_miRNA from 10 species
ACAUAAACCACCCAGGGGUCUUGUUAGAAUGCAGGUUCUGAUUUCAUUAGGGGCCUGAGAUUCUGCAAUUCUAGCAAGCUCCCAGGUGACAUU